GGAAGCGUGCCAGAGUGGUCGAAUGGGCCGCACUCGAAAUGCGGUAAGCCCGAAAGGGCUUCGGGGGUUCGAAUCCUCCCGCUUCCGCCA
rnacentral:tRNA from 1 species